rnacentral:rRNA from 1 species
UACGUAGGGGGCAAGCGUUGUCCGGAUUGAUUGGGCGUAAAGAGCGUGUAGGCGGCUUUACAGGUCCGUUGUGAAAACUCGAGGCUCAACCUCGAGACGCCGGUGGAAACCGUAAAGCUAGAGUCCGGAAGAGGAGAGUGGAAUUCCUGGUGUAGCGGUGAAAUGCGCAGAUAUCAGGAGGAACACCCGUGGCGAAAGCGGCUCGCUGGGACGGUACUGACGCUGAGACGCGAAAGCGUGGGGAGCAAACAGG